rnacentral:rRNA from 1 species
AUUGAACGCUGGCGGCAGGCUUAACACAUGCAAGUCGAGCGAGUGGCGGACGGGUGAGUAAUGUCUGGGAAACUGCCUGAUGGAGGGGGAUAACUACUGGAAACGGUAGCUAAUACCGCAUACCAUCGGAUGUGCCCAGAUGGGAUUAGCUAGUAGGUGGGGUAAUGGCUCACCUAGGCGACGAUCCCUAGCUGGUCUGAGAGGAUGACCAGCCAAACUGGAACUGAGACACGGUCCAGACUCUGACGGGAGGCAGCAGUGGGGAAUAUUGCACAAGGGGCGCAAGCCUGAUGCAGCCAUGCCGCGUGUAUGAAGAAGGCCUUCGGGUUGUAAAGUACUUUCAGCGAGGAGGCGUUACUCGCAGAAGAAGCACCGGCUAACUCCGUGCCAGCAGCCGCGGUAAUUC